GACGGGGGAUGCAAGUGUUAUCCGGAAUCACUGGGCGUAAAGCGUCUGCAGGUGGUUUUAUAAGUCUACUGUUAAACCUUGAGGCUCAACCUCAAAUCUGCAGUGGAAACUAGGAGACUUGAGUAUAGUAGGGGUAGAGGGAAUUUCCAGUGGAGCGGUGAAAUGCGUAGAUAUUGGAAAGAACACCGAUGGCGAAGACACUCUACUGGGCUAUUACUGACACUCAGGGACGAAAGCUAGGGGAGCAAAUGGGAUUAGAUACCCCAGUAGUCCUAGCCGUAAACGAUGGAUACUCGAUGUUGGACGUAUCGACCCGUUCAGUAUCUUAGCUAACGCGUUAAGUAUCCCGCCUGGGAAGUACGCUCGCAAGAGUGAA
rnacentral:rRNA from 1 species